rnacentral:rRNA from 1 species
CCUACGGGUGGCAGCAGUGGGGAAUAUUGGACAAUGGGCGCAAGCCUGAUCCAGCCAUGCCGCGUGUGUGAAGAAGGCCUUCGGGUUGUAAAGCACUUUCAGUGGGGAAGAAAGCCUUGGGGCUAAUACCCUCGAGGAAGGACAUCACCCACAGAAGAAGCACCGGCUAACUCCGUGCCAGCAGCCGCGGUAAUACGGAGGGUGCGAGCGUUAAUCGGAAUUACUGGGCGUAAAGCGCGCGUAGGCGGUCUGAUAAGCCGGUUGUGAAAGCCCCGGGCUCAACCUGGGAACGGCAUCCGGAACUGUCAGGCUAGAGUGCAGGAGAGGAAGGUAGAAUUCCCGGUGUAGCGGUGAAAUGCGUAGAGAUCGGGAGGAAUACCAGUGGCGAAGGCGGCCUUCUGGACUGACACUGACGCUGAGGUGCGAAAGCGUGGGUAGCAAACAGGAUUAGAUACCCGGGUAGUC